GGCCAUUUCCACUGCACAUGACCGAAAACCGCGGCCCGGCUGAAACACUGCCCGCAAACACGUGCCGCGCGUGUUCGCGGGUAAAUUCGUCAGAACGUCGGAAGUGGCAAAAACGCCGUUCAGUGAGGAUAGACUCGUACAGAUCGUCUCGCAGGAUCACAAGGAGCGCAAGGCACAGAAGAGAUUGCUCAAGGCAGGUUUGAGCUCAACGAAAUACAUCUACACCACCAAUGUGGACGACACGGUCCAGAUAGAUGGUGACAUACAAUUCGUCAUGAAUCCUAAAAUACCAUUGUCGAACAUAGAAGACGAUAUCACUAUUGGCCAGCCGUUGAUAGUGAUGAGUGAUGAUGAGUCAGAUGACAACACGACGAAUCAAUCGGAGAUCGAUGGCAAAACCCUGUCGGACGCUGUUGCAGAGUUCAUCAUAAUGGGUCUCCAUUUACCAGAGGAUCGCGAAUUUUAGAGGCUUGUAACUACCUUGCGCCCACCCUGUGCAAUCCCCAGCAAGAAAAAAUUAGAGGAGGAGAUAAUACCAAAGAUAUAAGAGACUUUCUGCGUGUCUGUGGCAGCGUCGUUGUCCUGCAUCACUGCAGGAACAAUCGUCAGUGUUGAAAGAAAAUGCUAUGUUGCUGGAUUAUCCUGGCGUAUGGAUCUCUACGUACAACAUGCUGGAACAAAUGGUGCUACAUCGCAGGAGUAUCACAACUAUAGUAGAAAACAGAAGGAAUAGAUCAAAAACUGCUCGAGAUUACCAACGACCAGUGGACAGUUAUCGAGGAUCUUGUGAGUGUCCUUCAACCAUUUCAAGACACCAUUAUAGCACUCAGUGAGGAAAGAAUACCGCAGGUGUCAUUAUUGAAGCCACUACUUGAGCAACUUGUGUCCUCACAUCUCACAGUGCAAGAAUCCAACAGCGAGACUGCCAAGUCAUUCAAGAAAUCUCUGUUGGAUAUGUUAUGCGAGUGAUAUGUGGACGGCAACGUUAUGCUACUUCUACAAAUGACAGCUACUUUGGAUCCCAGGUGAGGUACCGAAGAUAGUCGAUUUCGGACACAAACGACAGAUUACCCUUCGGAUUAAGGGUUAAGUAUUAUAUAUUUCAAUUUUUAUUAAAUCUUUUCUAUCAUAUCUUCUAUUCAUAUAUUCUAUCUUAGUGAUAGUACAAAAAUACUUGUUAAUAGAAAUUUUUUACAUACUGUAUAUAACAAACUAUUUUUUACUUGGUUUUAAGUAAAAUGGGAUACGUAUAUUAAGAUAUAUACGAUGUGGAAAUCUAUUAACUUACGUUAUUUCAUAAAAUUUAAAUAUGUACCAUGUAUCAUGUAUAUGUAUAUUUGCUUUGUAUUACAGUAUAGGUAUACUAAAUAAAAAUAUUAAUUUUAUGUA